GUGAGUGAUGGUGAAAGGAAUAUGUCAUUGUUUUUGUAAAUAAUUGUAACUUUUAAAAUGAUCGUUCUUUGUAGAAAAAGUUAUGGUCACUAGUGUCUUAGGUAGGCCUAUGUAAUACUCUGUUGAAGACCUUUUUUAGUAUAAAAUUGAAAUAUUUCAGAAAUGUGUAAAGGAUUAUCGUUGGAAAUUUUUAAGUAAUCAUUAUUGUUUAUUUGAUUUUGUAACACAUCCUAUGAAAGGUAACAUUACAAGUUUCAUACUGUCUCACACAGAAAAAGUUUAGAAGCAAUAACAACAUAUUUACACAUAAACUACAACACCAAUAACGUUGCUUUUAGUGUUGUUCUCAGUGCUCUUGGUAUACUCACAAGCACCAGCACAGACACUAGUAGGCCUACCAUAUGACGUCCGCAACUUGUGUCCUGGUGUAUGUCCCAUCCGGCGACCUCCUGCAAGUGAAGAAGGAAUUUGGUGGAC